UACGUAGGGCGCGAGCGUUGUCCGGAUUUAUUGGGCGUAAAGAGCUCGUAGGCGGCCUGUUGCGUCCGCUGUGAAAUCCCGGGGCUUAACCCCGGGCGUGCAGUGGAUACGGGCAGGCUGGAGGCAGGCAGGGGAGAACGGAAUUCCCGGUGUAGCGGUGAAAUGCGCAGAUAUCGGGAGGAACACCGGUGGCGAAGGCGGUUCUCUGGGCCUGUACUGACGCUGAGGAGCGAAAGCGUGGGGAGCGAACAGG
rnacentral:rRNA from 1 species